CUAACUGUUUUUUUUUCAAUAACGUGCAAAUGUUGGCCUUUCAUGUUUCUUCAUGAGCAUCAGGACAAAGAAGUCGGAAGAAGCUGAUCCUAUUUGUAUCUGUGUAAUAACUUGGCGCAUGUGAUAGACUGUAAACUUGUAGAGCAGAUUGCUUCUUGUUGUUAUCUGAUUGUAAACUUCAUGCUGAUCACAUUUGUAUAUGUGUUAUAUGAUGUAGCAGAUUAUAUUGCUUCUUGCUGUAAUUUGAAGUAUUGCGUCUGUUUUCUGUCUAUUUCGAUUUAAAUAUUGGUUGUUUAGUUAUCGGCAUAUUUAUUGAAAUAUGAAAAACAUGACCUUGACAACAGGACCCACAAACUAGAAUGCCACAUUUGGGACCCACUUACCAGAACCUCAUAAUUAGGGCGCAUUAAAAAAAGAAAAACAAAUGCCACAACCCAAAAAAGGCUAAAAUGUUGGGCCUGGCCCAUGUAGUUGACCAAAAUUAAUAGAAAAAAAAUGUAAAAAGGCUGAAUUUUUUGGCUCAGCCCAUGUAAAAUACCGAAUUGGAUCGGGCUGAUUCUUAUCAAUGACCAAUCCAAUUGGUCUUAACUUUGCCACGUCAGCUUGCCACGUUGGAUCCAACGUGGCCUGGUGAGGGAUCGAUAGAAGAUGUAUCUAGGGGGGGGGGGAUGUGAAUAGACUACUUGUCAAGAUAAAAAUUUCUAGCCCAACCGGAAUUCUAGGAGGGCACAAACUUAGCAGUUAUAACAAGUCAAGUACACCCUACACAUGUAGUUCUGAGAGUAUAGGAGCGGAAUGUAAAACAUGCAAGUGUAAUGUAGAGGAGUAAGGUAGGGAGAUCAAACGCAUGAGGUUGACACGGUGAUUUUUUGGCAUGGUUCCAAUAGGAGGCGCUAUCGUACGUCCAUGUUAGUGGAGACUUCAACCCACGGAGGGUAACUGCUGCGAGAGUCCAUGGAGGGCUCCACCCAUGGAGGGUCCACAAAGAAGCGGCCUUGUCUAUCCCACCACGGCUUCCGUCCACGGAGUACUAGCCUUACUCAUGGUAGAUCUUCACGAAGUAGGCGAUCUCCUUGCCCUUAUAAACAUCUUGGUUCAACUCCACAACACGAAGUAGGAGGCUCCCAAGCGACACCUAACCAAUCUAGGAGGCACCACCCUUCAAAAGGUACUAGAUGUGGUAGAUCAAUGAACUCCUUGCUCUUGUGCUUCUAAAGAUAGUGUCCUCUACACAAAUCACUCUCUCAUAGAAUAGUCAUGGGUAGGAGAGGUUGAUUUGGUGGAAAGCAGUUUGGGGAGGAUAGAGAUCAAGUUUGGUGAGACCGAUAUAUGAAACUCGGUGGCAUCGAAAAGGUGACUAACGAUCAGAUGGUCAAACUGAGUGGCACCUUUACUCAAAGUCGGAAAUUCCGAUUUUGUGUAUCUUUGUAAAUAGAAUAUUGGUCACACUGAACUCGGUAACACCGACUUGGUUUCGGUUGCACCGAUUUGGUGGGAAUGGCUAGGGUUUCUAUGUGAGGUCAAACUCGGUGGGUCCGAUAUGGAAAUAUUGGUGACACCGAAUUUGUGUAUAUGGAUCUCGACAGAGUGGAUUUGUGGGAAAAAUGACUGAGUGUAUUGGUGGCUAACUUUGAGCAUUUGAGCAAUCAGUUCAUUUUGCUACCUCACCCCCUUUAAAUAGUAUUGGCUUUCUAUGGACUCAAAAGUGAUUUCUCACAAAUAAAAAAUGAAGAGUCUUCUAGCUUGAAGCUUGAGCCAAAAUUAUUCCUUUCUUGCAUCCACGAGCAUCUCCAGAUCAACCUUAAGCCAUAGCAUCUCCAUGGACUUUCCUGAAAUAUCUAGGUAAAAGUGUUAGUCCAAGAGACAAUGUAUGUUGUCAUGAAUUAUCAAAAUCACCAAGGGAACAUAUGUGCUUUCAAUCUCCCCCCUUUUUGGUAAUUGAUGACAACAUACAAUCAAAGCUUCAAAUAAAGAUAUCAUAGGGAUAUGACAGCUUUGAAAGAAACAAGACUAGUACACGCCCCUAAAUGUGUGCAAUCCCUUUUAAAGGAUAGUUGCUCUGGAAUGCAUGGACACACACAAGGUAGAAGGACAAGACAAGUCACAGACAUCGUGUCUAUAUGCAUCAAACAUAUGUAAUUGAAGAAGUUCCAUGUUCAAGACUCCCUCUUGCAAAUAGUAUGUGCAAGAGACAAGAGGUCAUCAAGAACAAGGGUAUGAUGCAUAUACUUACCUUGAGGAUCUUGAGCGACUUGACAUAUGAGUACAUUUGGGAAAACAAUUGUUAGAUAACACAAGAGUACCCUGUUGUAAAGAUGCAAAGAGCCUCAAAAAUACCAAGAAAUUGAAGACAUAUUGAAGAUAGGUUUUCAUAAAAGGAUAUGUCUCCAAAGAAGAAUAACUUUUCUCCCUAAAGAUGAAUAUGUAAGGAUUCCUCCCCCCUGAAUCAUAGCAUGUAUAUAUUGGGAGUAGGUAGGGAAAAUAAGUUCAAAUCAAUAAAGCGAUAUUUAUCUCUCCCCCCUUGAUGUAUAAGGUUUGAUACAUCUCUCUUUAGGAACAAAUAUCUCCCUUUAGUGUUGUUUCUCCCUCUUUUGUAUAAGCUUCUUGGUGAUAUUUAUCCCCUAUAAGUAGGUUCAUUGAGUGGAAGCUUUGAUACCUUGAUAUUUCUCCCCCUUUGGCAUAAAUUAUCAAAAAUAAGGUUAGAGGGUAAGGGCUCAUUGAGAGAAAGGGAUCCUGGAUACUUCUCACCUUUACAAGGGCUCCUUGAAUUUGUCUUUUCUCCCUCUUUGAUAUGAAUAAGAGUUCCUUGAAUUUUCUCCCCCUAUGUUAGGGAUCCUAGAUGAUUCUCCCUUUUGUAUAACAUGGGAUCACUAAGGUGUUUCUCCCCCUAGAGAAGUUUUCUCCCCCUAAACCAUACGUUCAGAAGAAAUUUUCAGAGCUAUAUUUUUGUUAGAUAAAUCGGAGUCACUGAGGCUAAAUGGUUCGGUAGAACCGAGUACGAUAUUCAGGCCUCUUGGGUGAAAUCGAUUGGACCGAGUUUCCCAAUUCGGUGAAACCGAGUUGCUAUGAUAGUCAACUCUUUAAGAGAAGAAUAGUCUGAUCGGAAGAUUUGUUUCAAGAUUCCAAUUGUAAAAGAAGAUACUAAGUGAUAAAUAGAAACAAAAGUAGAAGAAAAACAAAAGUAUUUUUUUUGAAAAUAUGAGAUACAUACAUACAUGUAGAUGAGGUUUGAAUGGUUCUAAGAGGGAAGGCUCAAAUGUGAACCAUACAAUGAUCUCCAUCUAGAUGUGGACGGUGACAAGGUCACCUAUAUUAGAGUAUUUGACUUGAGGAGUCAAGCAAGGAUGCUUGAUCAUAGGUCAUACUCAUUGUUAAGCGCGAAAUGGGGUUUCCAUUUUCGAUUAUGCUUUUGAAUGUCUUCAUAUCACUUGAGUUGCUUUAUCCAUGAAUUAGUGUAGAUCUUUAUCGAGGAUAUGAGUACAUACCUUCGAAUGAUGUUGAUGAUGUGGCAUGUAGGUGAACUUGUUGUGGAUGCUCAAGGUUGAUGAAUAUCAUCUUGAGUUGGGAGAAAUCCAUGUCGUUUUGGUUCACUUUUCACCUACAAUGGUUAGUCAUGAAAGGAAGACCAUAAUAUAUCCAAAUGACAAGAGUGAAUAACUUCAUCAACUGAUAGUCAAGGAUAUGAUUUUGUUGUCUUCUUCCUUCAUCCUCGAAGAGGGGUUGUUGAUACUUGGCCAUGUUAAGAUUGCUUUUGAUUGGAGUUAAUGGUAAUCUUGCGGUGUGUAUUUCUUCCAAGUACCUACAAAAGGUUAGAUGCAAUACAAGUGAGCAUAGUUUCCAAGAUACAAGAUAAUCAAUUGAAAUGGCAUCAAGGAUUAUUCAGUCAAGCUCAUGCCCUUGCAUGCAUCCAAGUGAGUCUAGCUCAAGUUUGAAGCAUCAAUGAUGUUCAACUCACUCCUCAAAUGACAGAACACUUUCUCAUCAAGUGGUUUGGUAAAGAUAUCAACUAGUUGUUUGUGAGUACGAACAUGAUUCAGAUUGAUAUCUCCUUUAGCAACAUGAUUACGAAUGAAAUGAUGUCGCUCUUGGAUGUGUUUUGUUCUAGAAUGUUACACGGGAUUAUAGGCAAUCUUAAUAGCACUUUCAUUGUCACACAAUAAUGGAACUUUUCUAACAUGAAUGACAUAAUCCUUAAGCGUUUGUGUCAUCCAUAGUAAUUGAGCACAACAUGCAUGAUCCAGCGGCAAUGUAUUCAACUUCGACGGUGGAUAAGGAUACCUAGUUUUGUUUCUUGGAUGUCCAAGAGACAAGACAUCUCCCAAGAAAUUGACAUGUACCCAAGGUGGAUUUUCUAUCAACCUUGUAUCCAGCAUAGUCCGAGUCGGAAUAGCCAACAAGAUUGAAAGAAGAUCCCUUGAGAUACCAUAUGCCAAAGUUUGGUGUAUAUAUAAGGUAUCUCACUAUCCUUUUCACAAACAAUAGAUGACACUCCUUAGGUGCUGAUUGAUAGCCGGCACACAUGCAAACACUCAGCAUGAUGUCAGGGCGGGAGGCACGUAGAUAUAACAAUGAACCAAUCAUUGAUCGAUAAACCUUUUAAUCAACGGGUUUGUCCUCCUUAGUGAGGUCAAGAUGUCCACUAGUAGGCAUGGGGGUUCUCAUACCUUUGCAUUCUUGGAUGUUGAGCUUCCUGAUCAAGUCUUGGUGUACUUGGUUUGAGAGAUAAAUGUAGCUUCUCUCGAUUUUUUUAUUUGCAAUCCAAGGAAGAACUUCAGUUCACUCAUCAUAGACAUAUCAUACUUCACUGAGAUUGGCUUUCCAAACUUUUCACUAAAAUGUGGGUUAGUAGAACCAAAGAUAAUAUAAUCCACAUAUAUUUUACAAACAAAUAGUUCUCCAUUAACUCUUUUAGUAAAUAAGGUUGCAUCAAUUUUACCAAUCUCAAAACCCUUUUCAAUAAGAAACUUUGUUAGGCCUUUGUACCAAGCUCUAGGUGCUUGUUUAAGACCAUAUAAAGCUUUACGAAGUUUGUAGACAUGAUCAGGUUUCUUCGGGUUCACAUAAUUAGGAGGUUGUUUAACAUAAACUUCGUCUUCAAUUUCUCCAUUGAGAAAGGAACUUUUGAUAUCCAUUUGGUAAAGAGUUGUGUCAUGGUUAUUGGCAUAAGCUAGAAGAAUACGAAUGGCUUCAAGUCUAGCAACACGAGCAUAAGUCCAACCAUAGUCCAUACCUUCGACUUGCGUGUAUUCUUGGGCUACAAGAUGUGCUUUGUUGCGUACAAUGUGUCCGUCUUUAUCUUUCUUGUUCCAAAAUGCCCAUCUUCUACCAAUGAUAUUCUGCUCGCCUUCAGGUUUUUCAACAAGUGUCCAUACUUGGUUCCUCUCGAAGUUGUGUAGCUCUUCGUGCACAGCGUUCACCCAAUAUGGAUCUUGAAGAGCUUAUUCUACCUUCAAGGGUUCAAUACUAGAGAUGAAAGAAUAAUGCUCAGAAAACUUAGCUAAUCGAGAUUUAGAGCAAGUGAUUCUCCCGUUUUUUGUGUCACCGUAGAUUUGUUUCAACGGAUGAUCUAUGUCCACUCUUGCUCUAAUUCUUGACAACUUCUUCUUGUUGGAUGGAGGAGCUUCUUCUUCAUCACCUUCAUCAUCUUGAGUGUUGUCGUUGACUUCAUCAUCUACUUGGGGUGGUGGUGAGGAAGGUUGAGGUGGAUCAUCACGAUGUACUUCUUCCUCUUCUUCAUCAUGUCGUGUACCGCUUGUGGAUGCUUCCAUGUCAUUUUGCGGUUCGCCUUGACGUGACGUAGGAGCUUCCACUUGAGUUCAUUAAGUGCUUUCCUUCACCUCCAUGGGAUGAAUCGUGAUAAUAGACAAAACUUUGAUAGCUUCCGAACACUACAAGAAAUAAGCUCGUUUAUGACAAAAAAUAUUGACGACGGUUUUAUUGGUCAUAGAUCUAUGACUAAAAUCUACAAAAAGGUCAUGAGGUGUCUAAGAGGGUCCAAACCGUAGAAAAUUUUGACCAUCUCUAUCAAGAAGGUCAUAAUCCCAUUGCCCAAAAUGGUCACUGGCAUGUGUAGCUCUAUUUAUGCCCGCAUUGUAGGUCCUCCAUGACAAAAUUAAGAAGGUCAUAGGCUUAAAUAGAGGUGACUCGGCAGAAAACUCAACAAUUUCGCCUAUGUGUCUUGUAUUUAUGCCUUCGAUCGAUGACUUCUCAUUUGUGGAAAUAUUUAUGCCUUAGAUCGAUGACAUGCCGCACAUCCAUCCGAUAUUCAUGUGUGGUAGCAGUCGGGCGGGUUCACGUGGUCCUAGACGAAUGUCCCCGUCCACACUCAUCACCGUCAUACCAAAGACAACCUUCCCCGAUCCAUUCCCACACCUCACAUCAUCAUCUCCUUGUCGUCGCCCUUCUCUCCCCUCAUAGAUGGUCGGCGGCCGGAUUCACCGCACCUCACGCUGCCACUUCCAUCCAUCCAUCAGGAUCCACUCCUCCCGUCCACCCACACACCUACCUUGUGGCUAGGGUUUCGGUGGCCUUCACCUCAGUGCUUCUUCGAUGGAGACGAGGCCAGAGGCCACCCGAUCCUUCACCGAUGUGGAUGCAGUUAGUACUUGCCCUCCUUCUUCGGUCAAGAGGGUAGAAAAAAUUAGAAGAAAAAUAAAAAGAAGAACACAAUUGCAUGAGCUUGAUUCCUAUUGGUGGAAACAUUUAUUUCACGGAUCGAUGACGUGGCGCAUAUCCAUCCAUCUAUCCAUCUAACUCUCCACCCCCACAUCCCUCCAUCCAUCCAUAGAGAAAAGGAGAAAGAAAACACACGACUCCCCUCGUCUCUCCCAAAUCGCUGCCACCAGUGACUCGUCUCCCUCCUCCGACCCGCCUCGUCUCCCUUGCCGCCGACCCUCCCCCUCUCCUCCUCCAACCUGGCAACUCUGCAUGCUACCGGAUCCGCCACAUCGCCACCCAACCGUCCCUCUCGCAUCACAUCCCGCUCUCCUCACGUGGCUCCUCGUCGCGCUACCUUUGGCGGCUGAUUCAGGCGAUGUCCGGCGAAUCCCGCCACCGCGAAGCACAGCCCGAGCUCCCCUUGCUCUGCGGCGCCCUCCCAUCCUGCUAGAUCCAAUGUUUGCGGCAUCCAGAGCCCACCAUGGCCCACCCCUCAUGGCUAGGGUUUCGGGCGUCGAUUCCGGCUCUGGUGGCUAUGUCGUCCUCGUGUCAUCCGGUGAGUGCAUACCCUCCCUUGGGUUCAUCCUCUCUCUCUCCCCCCUUCUCUACAUGCUGCACUGGGUCUUGAUGCAUGUGUUGAGUCUGGGAAGGUCAGCGUGGCCUGCAGCCAUGGCGAAACACCCACUAUGUUGCGGCCUGGCAAGCAUCAGUGGCUAGAAUCAACCGCUACCUGUAUAUUCUUUCAGGGUAACAACAUUGUAGGGAACGACUCUCUUUUCUGUAAGCGAUUCUGAAGCCCAUGUUCGUAUUGUAGCAGCAACUAGGGUAUUUGAUGCAAUUAGUACCCAAACAAAUAGGUAUAGUUAAAAAUCAGGUUCCUAGACAACUACUAUUAGGAGCACACAAUAUUUAGACUCUUGCUAUAUAAUUAAAGGAAAUAACAAUAUUGACUAAUAUCCUCUAUAUAUUUACUAACCCCUGGUCCCAGACUUUACAUAUAAAUUAUAAUUUGGGAUGAUAAAUAGUAGGUAUAAAUGUAUUUAUUAAAAUAAAUUUAUUUCAUCCACAUGGAAGCCAACACAGUAUGACAUGUAAUGUCUAUCAAUUAGUUUAAACAACACUUCUUUUAAAAUUUAUGGUUCUAAUUUUUUUCUUAGGUAAGAAUGUUCUAGUUAUGCAUGGCAUGGAUGGGACGGCGACGAUAGCAACCCUGUCCUUCUCGGGGAGGCGGAUAGUAGGGGCGCCCCCAGCCGGCAGCCCUGUCCUGCUCGAGGAGGCAGAUAGUAGGGGCGUGCCCAGUCGGCAGCCUUGUCCUGCUCGAGGGGAGCCGACAGCCCUAUCAUGCAGGCCCCCACCCCUGAGCUCGACCAGGAAGACAUGGUUGAGUCCGAGCUUGAGCUUGACGACUCUGCACAAGGCAAGGUACCCGCUCCCUGCUCUCGUCUCCUUAUAAAUGCUCUGCUACUAUUGUCCAAUUUCUAGCUAGACCACAUGCACACUACAUUUUAGUGGUCAGGUUGGCAUCCUGUAAACCAAGGACUGAUGCUGCCAUUUUAGUGGUCGCCAAGGUUCCGAUAAAUCUGUUGAUCCUGUAAACUAAGGACUAAGCUCCGUCUGGCCGCCAUUGAGUUUAGCAUCGUCAGUUUUUUAUUUUCUUUCUAAACAAUAUCAAUCGAUGAGGUGUUUGUGGGUGCUCAAAAUAAUGUCUGAUGUGCCAAAUCUGCUGCUAUGUACUAGUAACUAAUAUCUGCUGCUUUGAAGGUGCGAGCGAUGGUGAUGAAGUUCAGUAGUAACUCAAAUCUACUGCUACAUAGUUUUCAGCCAGACUAGAUACAUGUUCGUCAUGCCAUUUCCUUAACUGUCUCACCCUUUUCAGCUAGUGUACAAAAAACAAAUUCUAGGCAUGCAUGAGUAGUGCAAAUACGCAUACUCCCAUCACUGAGAACAAGCUUUUUUAGUUGAGAUUGUUCCAUGGGAACCUCAGUCAGUGUAGCAGCACAAACAUGUAUAAUCAACUUCUUUUCACCAGCUGAGUUAGCUAGUGGAUUACUGAAUUCAGUCAUAACUAAUAUCAAUAAUGUUAUAAGUGGCAGUUGCAAAUAAUCUGCAAACAACACAACAGGCUAUGUCUCGUAGGAGUGUGUUUUUAUAUUCAUAAUCCAUAGGAAGCCACAAAAAAGCCGCUGCCAUCCCAGGCUACUCAACACUAUAAAUCACAAAAAUUUGAUGGAUAGCUAUUUCAAUGCAUAUUUAGGGUCCAGAUCUUGCCAAUGCUGAUUUGUAUGAGUGUUGCCUUUGUUUUACAUGUAACACAGAAUUGUGCUCGGGCUUGGCCUCCUUCUCAUGUUCGUGGCGUUGCUUCCUAACCUUUCACAUGUACUGCUCUCUCCUGUGUAACCCUUGAAAUGUUUGCUCCUCUUGCAGUCUACCCUUUUCAUUUCCUAACUGUUUGAUUGACCAAAUAAAGCUGGCACUGGAUGUAUGCAUGCAUGACCUACUUGCUUCCUCACAUAGAUUAUUAGCUAAAAGAAUAAUCACUUUGCAUUGUUCCACAUAUAUAAAUCAAUUUGUCGAACGGUCUCACUCAAAUGUGUUAAUUGUUGCAAACUAUGAUUAGCUGAAAAAUAGACUUUAGUUCAAGCAUGAAACUGAGUUAUUCAAACCAUGUUGGUUGAUAUGCGAGUUGCUUUGGGCUAUCUAAUUUCCAUAAUAUAGAAAUCUAGGAAUGCAGAAUCCACUAUCACAAAUUCAUAGGUCCAUGAGAUUUAUGGUAAAAAAUAUAAAUUAGUUGUUUAAGAUAUUAAUUGUCCAUGUAAUUUGGUCUAUUAAACGACGAGUGAUAUCUAGAAUUUUGGCGUGCUGCCAUUGAAUGUAGUGGCUAGGAGGGAUCAUGUCAAUCAUUGUCAGCGAGCUAAUCAGUUGAGUAUAUAUUCUACUGUGAGGGGUCUAUACUAGUGUCCAUUUUGUUUAACAUCAAUGUUGCAUCUGCUAGAAGAGAAAAUUUAGUUCAGUUGUAAUAUUCUACUAUCUUAGUUUGUCUAAACAUAAAAGCACUUAUGUUACCUUUCCAACUUCUAAUUGUUUACCUAUCGUGUCACCCCGUCAGCUGCAGGAAUGUAUGUUAAUCUACUACAACAUGGAUGACUUGCAAGUGCAUCUGCUUGAGUUGCUCAAGAUGAUGGUGGGCACGAGGAGAGUUGAUGAGUGCCGAAGGAGUGUCCGGAGGCUCACUGAUGUGGUGUUACCAUGCUAAUGGAAGUGCUUUGAAUUGCAGAACAUAUGCUAUCUAAGAAGGUUUUAAACAUACUAAUUGAUUAUUUCUGUGUUUUUUUGUCAGUUUUUAGGAUGGGAGAGGUCAAGGAGAAUGACGCAUUCGCAUGACGCCUUGGACAACCAUGACUGCUGGCCAACUAAGGUUUCACUCUCUCAAUCCGUCUAUGUCAUAUGAUGAACACUAUCUAGCCUUGUAUGCAUCUAGCUAGUCUUUGGCAACAUUGGGGUUUUGUUUUUGCGUUUAUUUUUUGGCAACUAAUAGGAGAAUGCCUACUGAUGAAUACCAUUGUGCCAUUUUGUCAGCGACCUAAAUUCAAAUUGUAGUGCUUCUAUAAAAUCAAGUACAUAACAAUGAUCGCUACAAUAAGACAUUUUCUCUACUACUAUUUCUCUCUUUUUCUUACGUGUUAAGUAAUUGUGUAGAUGGAAGUUGUAUGAGGAGUAUAUACAUGUAUGUUUAAUGGUUAUCUUGAGUUCUUAUCAUUCAGUUUGUGAGAUGCUAAUUAUGCUUUUAUUUAGUUGUUUUUCUGCAUUAGAAGACAACAUAAAGUUAUGUUUAAGUGGCCUAGACCAUGAUUCUAAGACCCAAUAACACAUUUUUGUUCAACAUCAGAGUUUCCUGAUAUUUAUGUUUAAUCAAACUCACUUGUCAUGUUAUCUGUAUACUCUUCCUAUUAGACCACCAUUAUCUGCAAGUUCUUUUUUACUUUAAAACUCAACUUUGGAUCUUAUAGGUUUGAUGAAGUUCUAAUAGCCAGGGCAGCGCCAUGGUCAACAUCAUGGUGGUUAACAAAACUGAUUGUCCUCGUCCCCUUCACUUGAAGUUUCCAGUCUUAUACAAUACCAAUCUAUCGAGUGGAGGUGUUAUGCGUUGUAUCAGGACAUAUACUUUAAUGGGAAUGCCAUAUGCCCUUUGGUUCUCACCAGUUUUAGUUGUAUACUGACUAAUAUGGGGUACACACUUGGUGGCUCUCUAGCACUUCUAAAUUUGUGUACCUCCUAUUGUUUUGUAUAGUUAAUCCUUGAAAUAAUUACAAGUACAUCCUUUGUAGUAAAUCUUACUAUGCUCCUUUGAAUAAUCAAGUGAUCUUUGUGUACUGAGUGCAUCCUUCACAAGUACUCCACCUAUUCACAAAUGUGUGCAAAAACAUAUUACAUUUGUGAACAGAGGAAGUAGUAUUUUCCUUCUCAUUGAAAUAUUCAUAAGUCUAAAAUGGAUGUUCACACUACAAGAAAUACGGUCAAUUGUGACUCAAGUUGAGUAGCACAGGAAGUAAAAUAUACACGUAUUGUAAGGCAUGGGCACACGAAGUAAAGCAGCACACACAUAAAGUGGACUGGCUAGACCGGCCUCUAACAAAUGCACCCGAUGAAGGCUAGCAUGACCGGUUUAAUAUUGUCAUGUUUUUAAUUGAACUAUUGCUUUAUUAAUUUAUCUCGAGAAUCAAGUAUUGCAAAUGUAUGCAGUUCCAUUGAUGUUUUUUCUCCAUUAGUGCAGAUUUAUGAGGUUAUAUACAUAAGUAGUAUUAUUACGUUGUGAACUACCAGAACACGUGAUAAAUUAUUAGUCUAAAAUUGAAAAAAUAAAAACUGAUGUGAGGCCGAGGCUAGAAGAAAGGACAAGUAUCUUUUUUUUCACAAAAUUGUUACUAUUUUUUUUCGAAAAUACUUUUUUGUAAAUAUUGUUAACAUGUAAUAUUGUUCACAACUAAUUAUUUGUUUGCAUCAUAUUUUUAUCUGUAUAUACAUUUUGCUCAGAAAAGAAACUGCGUUUCCAUUUUUACUAGAAACACUGGACGCAUAGAGCCGUGUUCACCCAUUUAAAGUUCGGGAAGCACACUAUUCAUGUGAGAUUACUAUUCAUAUUUAGUUAAUAAGUGGAUCUACUGUUCAUUACAGAUAUUGUUCACUAACUACCAUGCUUCGCCUAGCGUGUAGAGCGUUGUUCACCCGUUUUCAUGUUGGGGAAGGUUACUAUUUAUAUUUAGUUAAUAAGUGGAGUUAGUGUACGUUACAACUGCUCUCCAUUGAUUGCCACAUGUCAAUUUCACAAAGCAUUUGAAAAAAAUUGAAAAAAGCGAGGGAGCCCCUAGCUUAGCCAGUUUAAUACAGUAGUAUUUAUCCAUUGUUAGCAGCAAGUGCUUAACUAGAAUUUUUAGAACUGGUUAUGAGCUAAAAUUACAAUCGUUAAUUCUUUUAUCUAUAUGUAGCCUGAUCUGUUGCUCGUGGGUAGAUUCUUGUUAUACCAAGAUUGUCCUCAUUAUCCUAAGGUUGUAUAUUUAUUUUUCUCUUUAAGCUAGGUUUCUUUUCAAGCAUGUCUAACAUCUACAUGGAAGUCUUGAGAUAGAUAUAUAAGGAGAUUUUUUAUGGUACAUGUGCACGAACCUGUAAUGGGUUAUUAUCUGCUGCCCUUUUUAUUAUUAUAUGUGGCUCGUUGUCUACAUGCUUAUCUAUGCAUUAGUAUUUGAUGCUCUAUCAUGUUAGUUUCCUUGGUCUGCUUUCUGAGCCUUGCCAUCAUUUUCUUUUUGCAGGUGGCAAUGAUAGGAGUGGCAGAUUGUGCAGAGGAAGAGGAUGAGAAGAAACUUGUGCUUCACAAGCAAUCUUUGUAGAACUCUCUUGAUGUCUGAUUGUGCACUUGUUGGGUCUUUUUUCUGUGCACUUGCACUUGCGGAAGUAUUCUUUUGUGCACUUGUAAAAUUAUUUUGAUGCGCACUUGUUAGGCCUUGAACCUUGAUGUGUGGAGUCGUGAAUGAUGUGUUGUAUGUCAUGUGAUGUGCUACUGAAAUAAAAUAUACAUUUUAUUUACAAUCUUUUAUUUUGUUGUACUUGUUUUUUAAUGGACCUAUCCUGAGAUAUGCGUGCUUCUAGGAAAAUAAUGCAUCAACCCAAACAAAUCAGACAUUUUUAAUAAUAAAAUAGGUAUUGGGCCAGUCCCAUGUAGGCUAAAUUGUUGGACUGGGCUGUGAAAUUGAUGAUGAUUCUAUUUGGUCACUAGCAAUGCCACGCCAGCUUGGCCACGUUAGAUCCUACGUGGCGCACACAAAUGGGUAGUGACCAAACCAAAAUUUUGGUCAAUAGAGAUCUAUGACCAAAAUUAUAGAAAGGUCAUGUUUGUUCAUUCUUGACGGCCAACUGUUGACCUUGUAAAUUUGGUCAAAAAAGGUCAAUAAAUGUCAACAAUGACGAAUCAACGACCAAUAUCGGUAGUCAUAAUUGACCUUAUUUCUUGUAGUGGAAGGUUUCUUAUCUCCUACAUCAAUUGGCAAUUGUUCGACUUGCGAACCGUUAGUCUCAUCAAACUCCACAUCUAUCGUAUCUUCAACUUUUCGAGUGAAGUUGUUGUAGACACGGUAAGCGCGAGAGUUUGAUCCGUAACCAAGAAGGAAACCUUCAUAAGAUUUAGGUGCAAAUUUAGACCGACGAUGCUUAUCAAGAAUAUAGCACUUAGAGCCGAAUACCCAAAAGUAUCCAACUUGGGUUUGUUACCGGUGAGUAGCUCGUAUGCUGUUUUACCAAGAAGCUUGUGCACGUAGAGUCAGUUUAUGGCAUGGCAAGUUGUUUCCACGGCUUCAAACGAAAAGUGUCUUGGAGUCUUGUACUCGUCAAGAUCAUUCUCGCCAUCUUUAUGAGCGUCCAGUUCUUCCUCUAAAAACUCCAUUUUGUUGAGGUGUGUACGUCACCGAGAACUCAUGUAAGAUACCUUCUUGGUCAAGAAAGGUAUCCACAUUAGUGUUCUUGAACUUCGUUAUGUUGUCGCUCCGAACCUUCUUGAUCUUCACUUCAAACUGGUUUUGAUCUUUCCGAGCAAAGUUCUUGAAGAUCAUUUGUACCUGCGACUUAUCAUUUAGAAAGAACACCCACAUAAAUCUUCAAAAAACAUCAACAAUGACUAAACCAUAAGAAUUUUCACCGAGGCUCUUGUAAGCAUUGGGACCAAAGAGAUCCAUGUGAAGCAGCUCGAGGGGUCUUCUUGUGGUCAUAAUGUUCUUCACGGGAUGACUUCCACCAACUUGCUUUCCUGCUUGACAAGCACUACAGAGUCUAUCUUUGUCAAAUAUAACAUCUUUAACACCAAGAAUAUGAUCACCUUUGAUAAGUUUGUGAAGAUUGCGCAUACCAACAUGUCCAAGCCUUCUAUGCCAUAACCAACCUUUAGAAGAUUUUGCGAUAAGACAUGUAUGGGGUUUGGAUAUCUUAGAGAAAUUAACAAUGUAUAGAUCACCUCUACGGAAACCAGUAAAGAUGAUGUUAUGAUUGUCACUACAAAACACUCAGCAUUCAACUUUUGUAAAUAGCACAUCGAAACCAAAGUCUGCUAGUCUAGAUAUGGAAAGAAGAUUGUAGCCAAGGGAUUCAACAAGCAUGACAUUCUGAAUGGAACUGUCAUGAGAUACAACCACCUUAACAAGACCAAGUACCUUACCUUUGGAGUUGUCUCCAAAAGUCAAAUACUUCCGAGGUCCACGGUUUGGUGUAAUCUCAUGGAACAUGUCUUUAUCUCCAGUCAUGUGAUCGGUGCAUCCACUGUCGAGAACCCACUCCUUUCCACCGGCCAUGUAGUAUUUAAGGUUAGCCAUAAUACUAAGGUUCCUCGUGGUCUUCUCAUACUCAAUGUCAAAUCUUCAUCUUCAUUGCAGUAGCCAUGCUCCACAUUGUCAUCAUCGAAUGAAGUUCCCUCAUCAUAAGAAACAAGAAUUUCAUCAGAAAUUUGACUAUGACAAUGUUCAUGUUUAUGUAUUCGAAUGGCUUCAACAAUGAUAUUGUUAAUGGUAAUGACAUCUCCUUUAGCAUGCAUGAGGUCACGAAGCUCAAAUAGGCAUUUAUCAAAGUUAGGAUUGGUUGGCUUCACUUUGUGAAAAGCAACGCAUUUGUGGAAAAUGAUAUCAAGAUUUUUCAAGGAAUAAUUUGGACAUCUUUUCUCUAAGUCUUUCCACAAGGUAUGAGAACACUCAAAGUUUUAAAAUUGAUUAAGCACAUUUCUUGGUACACCUCUAAUGAUUAGAUUGACAGUGUUAGGGUUACCAAGCAUAUUAACUUCAUCAUCAUGAGAAGGAUGUAUCGGAUCAAUGGGAGGCGCAUAGGGAUAUUUAAAUACUUGCGCAAAUGGAACUCAUCAAAUAUAACAAGCAUUUCGUUUUUCCAUUGUAUAAAGUACUCCCCAUCAAGGAUAGGCACUCUACAACUAAAAAUCUAGGAACUUGUCACAUUGAUCUUCCUCCAAUGGGGGUUAAACCAAGGUUUUGGAGACCUUACUCUGAUACCAAUUGAGGGAUCGAUAGAAGAUGUGUCUAGAGGGGGGGGGGUGAAUAGACUACUUGUCAAGAUAAAAAUUUCUAGCCCAACCGGAAUUCUAGGAGGGCAGAAACUUAUCAGUUAUAACAAGUCAAGUACACCUUACACAUGCAUUUCUAAGAGUAUAACAGCGGAAUGUAAAACAUGCAAGUGUAAUGUAGAGGAGUAAGGUAGGGAUAUCAAACACAUGAGGUUGACACGACGAUUUUUGGCAUGGUUCCGAUAGGUGGCGCUAUUGUACGUCCAUGUUAGUGGAGACUUCAACCCACGGAGGGUAACGGCUCCGAGAGUCCACAGAGGGCUCCACCCACGGAGGGUCCAAAGAAGCGGCCUUGUCUAUCCCACCACGGCUUCCGUCCACAGAGGACUAGCCUUACUCACUGUAGAUCUUCAUGAAGUAGGCGAUCUCCUUGCCCUUACAAACAUCUUGGUUCAACUCCACAACACGAAGUAGGAGGCUCCCAAGCGACACCUAACCAAUCUAGGAGGCACCACCCUCCAAAAGGUAAUAGAUGUGGUCGACCAAUGAACUCCUUGCUCUUGUCCUUCUAAAGAUAGUCUCGUCAACACAAAUCACUCUCUCACUGAAUAUGCAUGGGUGGGAGAGGUUGAUUUGGUAGAAAGCAGUUAUGGGAGGCUAGAGAUCAAGUUUCAAAUGGUAGGAUAGGAAUAUCUUGGUCUCAACACAUGAGUAGGUGGCUCUCUCUCAUAAAAUGGAUCUGGCAAUGAAGUGUGUGUUCUAAGUGCUUCUCUCACGAAUGAGAGGUGGGUGAAGGGGUAUAUAUAGGAAGCAGCCAAAAUCCCACUGUUACACACAAAAGGGCAAACUCGGUGACACCAAAGUUGAGAACUCGAUGGUACCGAUUAGCACAAAGGUGUGAACUUUUGAAUAUCGGUGAGGCCAAUAUACGAAACUCGGUGGCACCAAAAAGGUGACUAAUGUCAGAUGGCCAAACUCGGUGGCACCGAUACUCAAACUCGGAAAUUCCGUUUUUGUGUAUCUUGGCAACAGAAUGGUGGUCACACUGAACUCGGUAGCACCGACUUGGUUUCGGUUGCACCAAUUUGGUGGGAAUGGUUGGGGUUUCUGUCUGAGGUCAAACUCAGUGGGUCCGAUAUGGAAAUGUUGGUGACACCGAAUUUGUGUAUCUCGAUCUUGACAUUGUGGAUAUUUGGGAAAAAUGACUGAGUGUUUUGGUGGCUAACUUUGAGCAUUUCAGCAAUCAGUUCAUUUUACUACCUCACCCCCUUUUAAUAGUAUUGGCUUUCCUAUGGACUCAAAAGUGAUUUCUCACAAAUAUAAAAGGGAUUAUUCCAUAUGUGCCCCCAAUUCCUUAGUUGUGCUCAGUUUUCCCCACGCUUCAAACUUUUGCUCACUUCCCCCCUCUCCCUUAGCUGAAACUCUCACAAAUGUUGAUAACACGCGUUUGCCGUCUUGGCCGUUAACUGACUUGUGGGGCCAUGUUGUUCUCUGUUGACUGUGGCUGUGGCUUCGCUGGUUGGGCCGUGUUUGUGUUCAUAGGACAGGCCCGUUAGUUUGUUGGUAAUAAAUUAAAAAAGCCUACUAUCGAUGGAUGCAGCCUGCUAUGCAUGCCCGUCUUUGGCAUCGAUGUAGCCUUCUAUGCAUGCGAACACCGCCACGCACGCAUCUAGUGACCUAGACCUAAACGCAUGCAUGCACACCGACACGCACGCAUCGAUCCGUGCCGCACGGUUGCCAGUGGAUUCAGUCGCUCCGCAACGUCGUUUCACGCGUCACAGGCAUACGUGCCGGUGGCAGAAGGGGCAGGCUGCACGCACGCUCGCACGCUCGCGUCCAUAUGUCGAGGCAUCAGUUCACGCCACACGGCUACCGCUCGAUUCAGUUGUGCCGGUGGCAGAAGGGGCAUGCAGAAGGGGCAGCCGUCAACGCAGAGCACGCAGAAGGGAAGGCAGGCAACUGCCAACGCAGCAGGGGGAGGCAGCCGCCAACGCAGAGCACGCUCGCUUCGAUUCACGUUCACACAUUGAUGAUCGCAUCGGUUCACACAGCAGCACUGAGUCACGAUCUACGCUGUUUGCGCGUGUACCCACUUCGUCUCCCACGGCUAUUUAAACUGCCCUUCAUUGCCUCUUCUUCUACAGAUCCAUCUGCGCCUCCCACUUCUCUUCUUCCCCCAAAAGCCAGAGCGGUUCCACUCAGCGAAGCAUUCAAGAUGCAGUUCUACGGCCAACGCUCCAAGAGCCUCCCACCGUGCCGGAAUGGCGGUACCCCGCCAACGUCGUCGUCGAGGAAUCGCUCCGCAUGUGGGCGUUCUCACGCUGGAGGGGUACCACUGAGCUUGCACGGGGGUUCCUCCGUGCGGGCUUCCACCACCUCCCGGCGGGCUCGCCGCCCAUGUUCAACCUUGUGGAGUAGCGUCCCCACGCCAACGCUCCACCGGUAGGGCUCGUCGUCCACUUCACCAACAGGUUCGAUGCCUACCACCUGCUCAGCAAGGUGUAUUGGUGUGGGUGCGAGUUCAUCGCAUUCACCACCUAUAACAUCUUCACCGACUUCGAGAGCAUCUUCCCCGCUCGCGACCGCAUGCACAGCCUCCCGUACUACCUCAGUGACAACGGCCUUGAGGAGGAGGAGUACUGAAGCCGGCGGCGAAGAAGACGGUGAAGCCGGCGGUUAAGGUGAAGACGACGGUGAAGACAUGGCGGUGUUGCCCUAGCUACCCUAUCUAGUAUGUAGUAUUAGUUUGGUGUGUGUGUUGCCCGACCUAGCUACCCUAAUUAUUAUUAUCUAUGUAAGAAAUUGGUGUCGUGUUAUAUGUCCCAAGAACUUAUGUUGCCCUAGCAACCCUAUCUAAGUUAAGUUAUGUGUGUUAUAUUAAUGCUUUGUUAUGUUUGUAUUUUGUUUGUCCCAAGUUUAGACACGGCUAAUUGGCAUGGGAAAAAUUAACCAAACUAACUAAAAAUGAUGUGUUUAUAGAUGCCUUCUAAAAAUAAGAACAUAUUGUACAUUUGUACACGACUUUGGUUUGCUGAGCUCUGUAUUUUUUAGGUAUUCCAAGAAUACUUUGGUUUUCAGAAAUAUUGAAGUAUCAAAUACUUUGAGAUGUUUGGCUUUAGUCAAAAGUGUAGUUUUAUAUACUUUGAUCCCUACUUUAAUAUGUAGAAAACUACACUAUGUUUGAAGUAUGGUUGGACCUCUUUUUCCAAUCAUGAAGUAUAAAUUACACUAUGUAGAAAACUACACUUUGAGAUGUUUGGCUUUAGUCAAAAGGAUAAAUGAAGGGACCCAUAAAGGAAAGCCAAAAAAAUUCCUCAAUGAGAUAGAAGAGAUUGGGCAAUCAAAUUAAUGAAAAAAGAAAUCAAAAACAAAAAGAACAAAGCAAUCGUUCCUAAACAAAAAAAGAAACAUCACUUGUUUCUGGGCCUCAUUUAUCCUUUGUGGGCCUAUUGCAGCUUGAUUCUCUUUGGGCCCGCAAACUAGGUUUUUUUUCUAGCAGAACUAACGAACUCGAGGACAAAAGUUUGGCAAGUGCGAGAGAGAAGAGAUGAACUUGAUGUAUAUCCCUCGUGCUGCUCAAGUACUGCUUACUGUCAUCUGACGAGCUAGGGUAUGACCCAACACUCGAGGUUAUUAGCUAACAAAAUAAUCCUAUCACUGAACUGGUAGUUGUCUUCUGUCAAAACUGAAUGUGUCGAAACUUAACAGUAAACUGCAUACAUUCAGAGAUCGACAGUUGCACUAAACAGAGUUGCAUUUGAGAUAAACAGAUGAGGAUUGCUAAACAUGUUGGGGAACGUCGCAUGGGAAACAAAAUUUUUCCUACGCGCACGAAGACCUAUCAUGGUGAUGUCCAUCUACGAGAGGGGAUGAAUGAUCUACGUACCCUUGUAGAUCGUACAGCAGAAGCGUUAGAGAAUGCGGUUGAUGUAGUGGAACGUCCUCACGUCCCUCGAUCCGCCCCGCGAACAAUCCUGCGAUCAGUCCCACGAUCUAGUACCGAACAGACGGCACCUCCGCGUUCAGCACACGUACAGCUUGACGAUGAUCUCGGCCUUCUUGAUCCAGCAAGAGAGACGGAGAGGUAGAAGAGUUCUCCGGCAGCGUGACGGCGCUCCGGAGGUUGGUGAUGAUCUCGUCUCAGCAGGGCUCCGCCCGAGCUCCGCAGAAACGCGAUCUAGAGGAAAAACUUAUGGAGGUAUGUGGUCGGGCAGCCGUGAGAAAGUCAUCUCAAAUCUGCCCUAAAAGCCCCAUAUAUAUAGGAGGAGGGAGGGGGACCUUGCCUUGGGGUCCAAGGGACUCCCAAGGGGUCGGCCGAGCCAAGGGGGGGAGGACUCCCCCCCCCCAAACCGAGUUGGACUUGGUUUGGUGGGAGGAGUCCCCCUCCCUUCCCACUUCUUCCCUCUUUUUUUUCUUUUCCUUUGAUUUCUUUCUCUUGGCGCAUAGGCCCUCUUGGGGCUGUCCCACCAGCCCACUAAGGGCUGGUGUGUCUCCCCAAAGCCUAUGGGCUUCCCCGGGGUGGGUUGCCCCCCUCGGUGAACUCCCGGAACCCAUUCGUCAUNNNNNNNNNNNNNNNNNNNNNNNNNNNNNNNNNNNNNNNNNNNNNNNNNNNNNNNNNNNNNNNNNNNNNNNNNNNNNNNNNNNNNNNNNNNNNNNNNNNNNNNNNNNNNNNNNNNNNNNNNNNNNNNNNNNNNNNNNNNNNNNNNNNNNNNNNNNNNNNNNNNNNNNNNNNNNNNNNNNNNNNNNNNNNNNNNNNNNNNNNNNNNNNNNNNNNNNNNNNNNNNNNNNNNNNNNNNNNNNNNNNNNNNNNNNNNNNNNNNNNNNNNNNNNNNNNNNNNNNNNNNNNNNNNNNNNNNNNNNNNNNNNNNNNNNNNNNNNNNNNNNNNNNNNNNNNNNNNNNNNNNNNNNNNNNNNNNNNNNNNNNNNNNNNNNNNNNNNNNNNNNNNNNNNNNNNNNNNNNNNNNNNNNNNNNNNNNNNNNNNNNNNNNNNNNNNNNNNNNNNNNNNNNNNNNNNNNNNNNNNNNNNNNNNNNNNNNNNNNNUAGGGCAUAAUUCCAACAGUCUCCCACUUGCACUAGAGUCAAUAAUCUAGCCCUAACAUCACCAUGUGAAUUACAUUGUAAUAAAUCUAACACCCAUACAGUUCUGGUGUUGAUCAUGUUUUGGCCAUGGAAGAGGUUUAGUCAGCGGGUCUGCUACAUUCAGAUCCGUGUGCACUUUGCAUAUAUUUACGUCCUCCUCCUCGACGUAGUCGCGGAUGAGGUUGAAGCGUCGUUUGAUGUGUCUGGUCUUCUUGUGAAACCUUGGUUCCUUUGCUAAGGCAAUGGCACCAGUGUUGUCACAGAACAAGGUUAUUGGAUCCAGUGCACUUGGCACCACUCCAAGAUCUGUCAUGAACUGCUUCAUCCAGACACCCUCCUUAGCCGCCUCCGAGGCAGCCAUGUACUCCGCUUCACAUGUAGAAUCUGCUACGACGCUUUGCUUGGAACUGCACCAGCUUACUGCACCCCCAUUAAGAAUAAAUACGUAUCCGGUUUGCGACUUAGAGUCGUCCGGAUCUGUGUCAAAGCUUGCAUCGACGUAACCUUUUACGGCGAGCUCUUCGUCACCUCCAUACACGAGAAACAUCUCCUUACUCCUUUUCAGGUACUUCAGGAUAUUCUUGACCGCCGUCCAGUGAUCUACUCCUGGAUUACUCUGGAACCUACCUGCUAUACUUAUGGCCAGGCUAACAUCCGGUCUAGUGCACAGCAUUGCAUACAUGAUAGAGCCUAUGGCUCAAGCAUAGGGGACGGAGCGCAUAUGCUCUCUAUCUUCAUCAGUUGCUGGGCACUGAGUCUUACUCAAUCUCGUACCUUGUAACACUGGCAAGAACCCUUUCUUCGACUGUUCCAUUUUGAACCUCUUCAAAACUUUAUCAAGGUAUGUGCUUUGUGAAAGUCCUAUCAGGCGUUUUGAUCCAUCCCUAUAGAUCUUAAUGCCUAGAAUGUAAGCAGCUUCUCCUAGGUCCUUUAUAGAGAAACUUUUAUUCAAGUAACCUUUUAUGCUCUCCAAAAGCUCUACGUUGUUUCCAAUCAGUAAUAUGUCAUCCACGUAUAAUAUUAGAAACGCCACAGAGCUCCCACUCACUUUCUUGUAAAUACAAGAUUCUCCAACCACUUGUAUAAACCCAAAUGCUUUGAUCACCUCAUCAAAGCGUUUGUUCCAACUCCGAGAUGCUUGCACCAGUCCAUAAAUGGAUCGCUGGAGCUUGCACACCUUGUCAGCAUUUUUAGGAUCGACAAAACCUUCGGGUUGCAUCAUAUACAACUCUUCCUUAAGGAAACCGUUAAGGAACGCCGUUUUGACAUCCAUUUGCCAGAUUUCAUAAUCGAAAAAUGCAGCUAUUGCUAACAUGAUUCUGACGGACUUAAGCAUCGCUACGGGUGAGAAGGUCUCAUCGUAGUCAACUCCUGGAACUUGUAAAAAA
rnacentral:lncRNA from 1 species